rnacentral:rRNA from 1 species
AUUGAACGCUGGCGGCAGGCCUAACACAUGCAAGUCGAACGGUAACAGGAAGCAGCUUGCUGCUUCGCUGACGAGUGGCGGACGGGUGAGUAAUGUCUGGGAAGCUGCCUGAUGGAGGGGGAUAACUACUGGAAACGGUAGCUAAUACCGCAUAAUGUCGCAAGACCAAAGAGGGGGACCUUCGGGCCUCUUGCCAUCGGCUGUGCCCAGAUGGGAUUAGCUUGUUGGUGGGGUAACGGCUCACCAAGGCGACGAUCCCUAGCUGGUCUGAGAGGAUGACAAGCCACACUGGAACUGAGACACGGUCCAGACUCCUACGGGAGGCAGCAGUGGGGAAUAUUGCACAAUGGGCGCAAGCCUGAUGCAGCCAUGCCGCGUGUAUGAAGAAGGCCUUCGGGUUGUAAAGUACUUUCAGCGGGGAGGAAGGGAGUAAAGUUAAUACCUUGGCUCAUUGACGUUACCCGCAGAAGAAGCACCGGCUAACUCCGUG